GACGAACGCUGGCGGCGUGCUUAACACAUGCCAGUCGAACGGAAAGGCCCUGCUUGCAGGGUACUCGAGUGGCGAACGGGUGAGUAACACGUGGGUGAUCUGCCCUGCACUUCGGGAUAAGCCUGGGAAACUGGGUCUAAUACCGGAUAGGAGCCAUUUUUAGUGUGAUGGUUGGAAAGUUUUUUCGGUGUAGGAUGAGCUCGCGGCCUAUCAGCUUGUUGGUGGGGUAAUGGCCUACCAAGGCGGCGACGGGUAGCCGGCCUGAGAGGGUGGACGGCCACAUUGGGACUGAGAUACGGCCCAGACUCCUACGGGAGGCAGCAGUGGGGAAUAUUGCACAAUGGGCGCAAGCCUGAUGCAGCGACGUCGCGUGGGGGAUGACGGCCUUCGGGUUGUAAACUCCUUUCGCUAGGGACGAAGCUUUUUGUGACGGUACCUAGAUAAGAAGCACCGGCUAACUACGUG
rnacentral:rRNA from 1 species